GGAUUAGAUACCCUGGUAGUCCACGCCGUAAACGAUGAGAACUAGUCGUCGGGAGGGUUUGCCACUCGGUGACGCAGCUAACGCAUUAAGUUCUCCGCCUGGGGAGUACGCCGGCAACGGUAAAACUCAAAGUAAUUGACGGGGGCCCGCACAAGCGGUGGAGCAUGUGGUUUAAUUCGAUGCAACGCGAAGAACCUUACCUGGCCUUGACAUCCUUGGAACUUAGCAGAGAUGCUUCGGUGCCUUCGGGAACCGAGUGACAGGUGCUGCAUGGCUGUCGUCAGCUCGUGCCG
rnacentral:rRNA from 1 species